UACGUAGGGCGCGAGCGUUGUCCGGAAUUAUUGGGCGUAAAGAGCUUGUAGGCGGUUUGUCGCGUCUGCCGUGAAAGCCCAGGGCUUAACCCUGGGUCUGCGGUGGGUACGGGCAGACUAGAGUGUGGUAGGGGAGACUGGAAUUCCUGGUGUAGCGGUGAAAUGCGCAGAUAUCAGGAGGAACACCGAUGGCGAAGGCAGGUCUCUGGGCCACGACUGACGCUGAGAAGCGAAAGCAUGGGGAGCGAACAGG
rnacentral:rRNA from 1 species